UAUUAUAUUUGGAGUAAACCUAGUUUUCACUUUAUUAUAGAGUGAAAAAUUAGUACGAGUAUUUUCACUCUAAAUUUUAUGUUAGAGUUAAAAAUAGAGGGGGCUGGAGAUGCCCUACAGAUCUAAGAAGGAACAGGGAAGGACAAGAAGUGGUGUUUUGGUUUUCUGUUCUUAGUUAAAAAAUGCGGAGGAUUUUGUUGCUAGCCACCUCGAGUUAUUUAUGAUAGAGGACAACUACAUUCAAGUUAGGGAAGAUGCACAGAAAAUGGCUCGAUCUCAGGAUUAAAGAAGAGAACAGAGGCUUGAGGCGGAUGCUCUGGAGGCUGGAGGCGGAGGACUACGGUUACAAAGCUGGAGGCGGGGGCUCUGGGAGCGGCUUAGGUUUUAGGUUUAGGACCUUAGGUUAAUUACGUUUUGGUUUAAUGUCUUGAAUUAGUUUUUGGUUUAAUAUUUUCUUUAAUUAUCUGUAUACUGAAUACUGAUUCUAAUUAAUAAAUAAAAUUAAUUUUUAAUUAU